GCUGACGGUAACCGAACUGAGAGGCUGUUCACUGAGUGGGCUGAAGAUGAAAGAAAUUGGAAAGAUGAUGAUAGCAGUAAAACCCAGAGAUCAGAAUUCCCACUUUCUUGGUCACAGAAGAAACCUUUUUUUGUCACAUUAUAAUAAAGGAUUCUGCCAGGAGGAGGAUGCUCAUGUAGGAUAAUUUAGAUGGUAACAUUUGGAAAGUUAAUCUUACAACUCCAGUCCUGGAAAGAGUUCAGCUACCUGGUACAGAAUGAGUAAAGAGGGCCAGAGAGUUGUGUACUUUGCUGGCAGUCACAAACCAGGUUUGUGAUAGUCCACACUAGAUUCCAGAUUCUUUCCAUAAGGUCCUGUACAUAGGAGGUGGAAACCUGAUGUGCGGGUUCCCAAGUUCCAGGCUAAGGACCUUUGACCUUAUUCUUCAGACAUUGAUGAACCAAUGAAAGGGUUUUGUUUGGUUUGGUUUUAGCAGCUUUGGGGGAGGUGUGCUUUAGUAAAACCCUCAUAUGCAGUAUUGGAAAAUAAGUUAGUCUUGAGCAGUAAGACCCAGUAGAAUGCUGUGAGAGCCUGGUCAAGGGUAGGAGAGUGAAGAAACCAUGAACAUGAUAAAGUAUCUGAUCAAUUAAAACAUACAGAUGGAUUAAGAAAUCGGUUAAAAGAUGGUUCCUCAGAAUAGUCUCCCUUAGAAUAGUGUAAGAUUAGAUACCAAACUACCUGUAGCUGUUCUGUGUUUUUCUGCAGAAUUACUUUUGAAGUAUUGUAGCUGAGCAGUCAGUGGUUUAAAGUUAGCGCUUUUAUUUGCUUGUUACUGUAUCUCCAUUAGAGUAAGCCCUGGAGGUAGACCUGUAUCUUCACCUAGCAGAGGCCCUGAUACAGAAUAGGUACUAAUAUUUGGGGAUUGAAAAUACAGAUUGAUGGUAUAGUUCCAAAUGCACUUAAAUUUUUUUUUUUGUUUUACGCUGAUUUUUUUUCAAUUGGUCAGUGUCAUUCUCAUAAAAAUCAAACUUUGCCACAAUUCCUUUUUUCUCUUAGCUUCUGUGACUGCUAUUUUCUAGUUAUCCUGUCUGUUCCUACUCCUAUUUUUUCUUGCUCCUUAAAGAUGGUAUUCCUCAG
rnacentral:lncRNA from 1 species